rnacentral:rRNA from 1 species
UACGUAGGGGGCGAGCGUUGUCCGGAAUUACUGGGCGUAAAGGGCGCCUAGGCGGUUUGAUAAGUCCGCUGUGAAAGACCGAGGCUCAACCUCGGGGUGUCAGCGGAGACUGUUAGACUGGAGUAUCGGAGAGGAGUGCGGAAUACCUGGUGUAGCGGUGGAAUGCGUAGAUAUCAGGUGGAACACCGAUGGCGAAGGCAGCACUCUGGCCGAAUACUGACGCUGAAGCGCGAAAGCGUGGGGAGCGAGCAGG